rnacentral:lncRNA from 1 species
UCUUAUCUCUUAAGAUUACGACAAGUGUCGCAUUACAUGCGUGUCAUUUGUCCCAACCUGAAUUUUUUUUGUUUCGUAGAUUUGUAUUUUCAAAACAUUUUAUCUUCUAAACUGUACAUCCAAAACUCAAAAUAUUUUCAUCGUUGGAUUUCUCGCGUUAAGAUAUUCAAAACUAAAUACCAUGUUGAUAGGUUUUGACAAACUUUCUUUUCAUAAAAAA